CAGCAGCCACGGGAAUACGAAGGGUGCAAGCGUUACUCGGAAUUACUAGGCGUAAAGCGUGCGUAGGUGGUGGUUUAAGUCCGUUGUGAAAGCCCUGGGCUCAACCUGGGAAUUGCAGUGGAUACUGGGUCACUAGAGUGUGGUAGAGGAUAGUGGAAUUUCCGGUGUAGCAGUGAAAUGCGUAGAGAUCGGAAGGAACAUCUGUGGCGAAGGCGACUAUCUGGGCCAACACUGACACUGAGAGACGAAAGCUAGGGGAGCAAAUGGGAUUAGAUACCCGAGUAGUCCCUGUCUCUUAUAC
rnacentral:rRNA from 1 species